UUUCGCAAUGCCCGAAAGGGUGACGAAGCGACGCCGCGUGAGUGAAUAAGGCCUUCGGGUUGUAAAACUCUGUCAGGGGUUAAGAAAGGUAGGUCUGUGAAUACCAGGCUUAUUUGACAAAAGCCCCAAAGGAAGCCACGGCUAACUCUGUGCCAGCAGCCGCGGUAAUACAGAGGUGGCAAGCGUUGUUCGGAAUUAUUGGGCGUAAAGAGCACGUAGGUGGGUUUGUAAGUCAGGUGUGAAAGCCUUCUGUUCAAAGGAAGAACUGCAUCUGAAACUACAUUUCUUGAGUAUAGGAGGGGAGAGUGGAACUUCUGGUGGAGCGGUGAAAUGCGUAGAUAUCAGAAGGAACGUCGGCGGCGAAAGCGACUCUCUAGCCUAUUACUGACACUGAGUGUGCGAAAGUUAGGGGAGCAAACGGGAUUAGAUACCCCGGUAGUCCUAACCGUAAACGAUGGGCACUAAGUAGAGGGGUUUUA
rnacentral:rRNA from 1 species